CAGCGCAGACACACACACCCAGCGUGAGCUCAUCUGAUUAGGGGCCAUCAGCCAUAUGGCGCUUGGGGCACGUCCACAGGCCCCCCUUGACGAUCGUGGGGUUCAGGGGCUCGGUGCCGAGCCAGGACCUGGUGCCACUGACCCUUCGAGUCCAUCUCGCUCCCGGGAGGAGCUUGUGCACAGGAUGACCUGGGGCAGAGUGUCGUUCCAGAAAGUUCCAGCUGGGGCUUGUCUUACCUGACUCUUGGUCUUAAGGUUUUUUCUUUUCACGUUUCCUUACCACAGAGGCACAAAGGGGGGCCCAGAGGGGUCAGCGAGGAUGGAGGGCCGAGCUUCCCCGGGGGGAGCUAGUUGACGAGCCUGCCCCAGGGGCUGAGGACUGUCCCCCCGACCCGGAGGCCCUCCCUGAUGCCGGUGGGCCCAGCGACCGAGCCAAGACAAACACGGUGCAUGAGCUCACGGGGCUGGGAGCGCAGCGCGGAUGUGCUAUCUGCAGUGCGGACUUUGGACGGGGGCCUUACCCGGAAAGAAAGAAGCAUGAAAUCUGGAAACAAAAGAAAUAUGCGCUUGAACCAGGACGCUUUUAUCAGAGAGCUGCUGGGAUCCAAGCCUGCCUACGCGGCACAGCCAAGAUGCAAAUGGGCCCAUGGGGGAAAGGAGCGAAGUGGAAGGAUUUCCAGAAAUGGACAGGAAGGUUAGAGUCUGAUGUGCGUUAAAAGAAAAAAAAAAGAAAGAAAAGGGAGAGUUUGGAAAGUGGGGAGGACGUGCUCGAGGAGAAAGGGUUGGGAAAACAGGGGACAGCCAGGUAAAGAGGCGGCAAAGUGCCCCAGCCAACGAGGCUCGGUGGUUGAGCGUGGACCUAGGAACCAGGAGGUCACGGUUCGAUUCCUGGUUAAG